rnacentral:tRNA from 1 species
GGGCCGUUAGCUCAGUUGGUUAGAGCAGAGGACUCAUAAUCCUUUGGUCGCUGGUUCAAGUCCAGCACGGCCUA